rnacentral:SRP_RNA from 11 species
GCUGGGCUCAGUAACGUGGGCCUGUGACCCAAGUGGGGGCAUUAAGGUUACUUGAAGGGUCAAGUGCUAGGAGCCGCUUUG